AGAACUGAUUUUCUAUCACCACUAAAACACUCUGCUUAUCACGGUUUAUAGUGUAAGGACAGGAGAGAACACGUGAGAGGUGAGAACUGAUUUUCUAUCACCACUAGAACACCAUGCUUAUCACUGUUUAUAGUAUAAGGACAGGGGAGAACACAGGAGAGGUGAUAACUGAUUUUCUAUCACCACUAGAACACCUUGCUUAUCUCUGUUUAUAGUAUAAGGACAGGAAAGAACACAGGAGAGGUGAGAACU